AUGGAAUACCUAAAAUUUCCAUAGCAAACUGCUCAGUAACACAUGAUCAACUUGCCCUAUAGAGAAAAAUAACCUCGGGAAACUGAGGAUAAUAUUUCAUAGUUGAAUAGGCUUGGAAAAGUUUUUCAAUAAAAGGGAUAAAAAAAAUGGUUUUUAUCUGCUAUAGGAUAGGAUCGUGGACGAUUAUGGUCGUUGGUGAGGUAACGGCUCACCAAGCCGAUAAUCGAUAGGGGCCGUGAGAGCGGGAGCCCCGAGAUGGGUACUGAGACAGCGACCCAGGCCUUACGAGGCGCAGCAGGCGCGGAACCUCCACAAUACACGAAAGUGUGAUGGGGUUACCCAAAGUGUUCAAUUUUGAACUGUGGUAGGUGAGUAAUGUUCCCUACUAGAAAGGAGAGGGCAAGGCUGGUGCCAGCCGCCGCGGUAAAACCAGCUCUUCAAGUGGUCGGGAUAUUUAUUGGGCUUAAAGUGUCCGUAGCCGGUUUAGUAAGUUCCUGGUAAAAUCGGGUAGCUUAACUAUCUGUAUGCUAGGAAUACUGCUAUAC
rnacentral:rRNA from 1 species